rfam:Salmo salar isolate Sally breed double haploid chromosome ssa26, whole genome shotgun sequence.
UGGCUCAGUUGGUAGAGCAUGGUGUGUGCAACACCAGGGUUGUGGGUUCGAUUCCCAU